UACGGAGGGUGCAAGCGUUAUCCGGAUUUACUGGGUUUAAAGGGUGCGUAGGUGGGUCUGUAAGUCAGUGGUGAAAUCUCCGAGCUUAACUCGGAAACUGCCAUUGAUACUAUAGAUCUUGAAUUAUCUGGAGGUGAGCGGAAUAUGUCAUGUAGCGGUGAAAAUGCUUAGAUAUGACAUAGAACACCAAUUGCGAAGGCAGCUCACUACGGAUUGAUUGACACUGAGGCACGAAAGCGUGGGGAUCAAACAGG
rnacentral:rRNA from 1 species